rnacentral:rRNA from 1 species
GGGGAAUAUUGCGCAAUGGGGGGAACCCUGACGCAGCAACGCCGCGUGAAGGAUGAAGGUUUUCGGAUUGUAAACUUCUUUGAUGAGGGACGAAAGAAAUGACGGUACCUCAAAAACAAGCCACGGCUAACUACGUGCCAGCAGCCGCGGUAAUACGUAGGUGGCGAGCGUUGUCCGGAAUUACUGGGUGUAAAGGGCGUGUAGGCGGGGAGACAAGUCAGAUGUGAAAUACCGAGGCUUAACUUCGGGGCUGCAUCUGAAACUGUUUUUCUUGAGUGUCGGAGAGGAAAGUGGAAUUCCCAGUGUAGCGGUGAAAUGCGUAGAUAUUGGGAGGAACACCAGUGGCGAAGGCGACUUUCUGGACGAUAACUGACGCUGAGGCGCGAAAGCGUGGGGAGCAAAC